UCAGUAUUGCACAUUUGCGAAAUCCACCAUGGUAUUGCACAUUUGCCCAAGAUAUCCCUCAUGGUAUUGCACAUUUGCCCAAGAUAUCCACCAAUAUUCUUCAACGACGUGGUAAGGUAGGAUAAUUUCAUAUUUAAUGUUGAAAAAAGGUUUGGGGUCCGAUCCUGAGGGGUCUAGUGCGUGGAUAUCACGCUUGAUGCCUUACCCUAAGCUACUCGAGUUUAUCUCACUCGCUCAUAUUGGACUUAAUCUGAACCCUAAGAGACCUAAUGCACUUGCAAAUACUAAAAUGUG